CUCGUGUCGUGAGAUGUUGGGUUAAGUCCCGCAACGAGCGCAACCCCUAUUGUUAGUUGCCAUCAUUUAGUUGGGCACUCUAGCGAGACUGCCGGUAAUAAACCGGAGGAAGGUGGGGAUGACGUCAAAUCAUCAUGCCCCUUAUGACCUGGGCUACACACGUGCUACAAUGGCUGGUACAACGAGUCGCGAGUCGGUGACGGCAAGCUAAUCUCUUAAAGCCAGUCUCAGUUCGGAUUGUAGGCUGCAACUCGCCUACAUGAAGUCGGAAUCGCUAGUAAUCGCGGAUCAGCACGCCGCGGUGAAUACGUUCCCGGGCCUUGUACACACCGCCCGUCACACCACGAGAGUUUGUAACACCCGAAGUCGGUGAGGUAACCUUUUAGGAGCCAGCCGCCUAAGGUGGGAUAGAUGAUUGGGGUGAAGUCGUAACAAGGUAGCCAAUCGAAUUCCCGCGGCC
rnacentral:rRNA from 1 species